AUAAGAUAUAGUAACAGAAAGAGAGGGAGUGGGUAUAGAUAUAGUAACAGAGAGAGAGGGAGUGGGUAUAGAUAGAAUAUAGUAACAGAAAGAGAGGGAGUGGGUAUAGAUAGAGUAACAGAGAGAAGGAGUGGGUAUAGCUAGAGUAAUAGAGAGAGGGAGUGGGUAUAGAUAUAGUAACAGAGAGAGAGGGAGUGGGUAUCGAUAGAGUAACAGAGAGAGGGAGCGGGUAUAGAUAUAGUAAUAGAGAGAGGGAGUGGGUAUAGAUAUAGUAACAGAGAGAGGGGGAGUGGGUAUAGAUAGAGUUACAGAGAGAAGGAGUGGGUAUAGAUAGAGUAACAGAGAGAGAGGGAGUGGGUAUCGAUAGAGUAACAGAGAGAGGGAGUGGGUAUAGAUAUAGUAAUAGAGAGAGGGAGUGGGUAUAGAUAUAGUAACAGAGAGAGAGGGAGUGGGUAUAGAUAGAGUAAUAGAGAGAGGGAGUGAGUAUAGAUAUAGUAAUAGAGAGAGGGAGUGGGUAUAGAUAUAGUAACAGAGAGAGAGGGAGUGGGUAUAGAUAGAGUAACAGAGAGAAGGAGUGGGUAUAGAUAGAGUAACAGAGAGAGAGGGAGUGGGUAUAGAUAUAGUAACAGAGAGAGAGAGGGAGUGG
ensembl:lncRNA